UAUGAUAACACCCUAAACAUAGCACAUUUAUCAAAAUCAGAAAACUGACGUUACAACAGUACUAUUAACUAAACUAAAAAUUUAAUUUGGAUUUCACCCAUUUUUACAUGCACCUGCUUUCACGGGCAUAUCAUUCUCUGAGGUUUUAUCACAUUUAUGGACUGGAGUAGCCACCACCACCACAGUGGGGGCUCUCUUUAAUUUCCCCUGUUGUGCUGGGACCUGAAACUGCUUCAGGCUGUAAUCUGGGGUUAUGAGCAGGGUUAUCUCAUUUUUUUUUCUUUUUUUAUGGUUCAUAUUUUUAUACUGUCAAGGUUCAGUGCCUGAAAGUUAUUAUUACAGAUAUAUUCAUCCAGUUUUUGACUUGAUUUUAGUGGAAAGAGAAAUAUGGUACCUGCUAUUUAUUAUGGAUGGAAGUACACGUAUACAUGCAGGAAAAAAUUCAAUUGCUCAACUUUCUCGGACACAGGCCCAGAAUUUCUUGCCGUUUAUUACACUGUAAAGUGGGAGCAUACACAGAUGUGGAGUGAGGAAGAUAGCAAAGCCCUCUUAAACACAUGUUUGGAUCAUGGACAGACACAGGACUUCAUAAGAAGAGUUCACCAUGCAUGGCGUGGACACACUCCAAGGCUGUUCACACUGGCUUGUUUCCAAAUGGGUACAAAUCCCCUCUGCAUACCCAAGUGA
rnacentral:lncRNA from 1 species